CCGUAAUCGUCUAAAUACCAGCAGUGCCAUAGUUUAUUUACAAGAUAAGCCAUAUUUAUUUGUGUAUUGGCGGCCUAAUACACGAGAUUGCCUGUGAACAUAACAAACGUUUUGAUUGGUCGAUAAAAUUAUAAAUAGAAAGUUGACGAAACGAACUUUAGAAUUAGUCUCAGAAUUAUUCUCAACGCCUGCAAGAGCAGUCGGAGUUUAGCUGUCUUGAUGUCCUUAUAAUUUAGUGUGAAGGUUUUAAUGGUUUUAAGAAAACUCAACCUUCUUACACAUGGCAAUUGUUUGUUUUGAAGAAGAAGACGACCUUCGACCUACGGGAAAGUCCAGUCAGCUGUCGUUCCACUUAGUCAACUUUCUAUAAAUACGAUGAGAGAGGUUUUCUGGAAACCUACUUUCACUUUAGCAGAGAGAGAGAAACCUGAAUAGACGAUUACGGCAA
rnacentral:lncRNA from 1 species